UGGGGAAUUUUGGACAAUGGGCGCAAGCCUGAUCCAGCAAUGCCGCGUGCAGGAAGAAGGCCUUCGGGUUGUAAACUGCUUUUGUCAGGGAAGAAAUCCUCUGGGUUAAUACCUCGGGGGGAUGACGGUACCUGAAGAAUAAGCACCGGCUAACUACGUGCCAGCAGCCGCGGUAAUACGUAGGGUGCGAGCGUUAAUCGGAAUUACUGGGCGUAAAGCGUGCGCAGGCGGUUGUGCAAGACAGGUGUGAAAUCCCCCGGGGCUUAACCUGGGAACUGCAACUUGUGACUGCACGGCUAGAGUACGGUAGAGGGGGGAUGGAAUUCCGCGUGUAGCAGUGAAAUGCGUAGAUAUGCGGAGGAACACCGAUGGCGAAGGCAAUCCCCUGGACCUGUACUGACGCUCAUGCACGAAAGCGUGGGGAGCAAACAGGAUUAGAUACCCUGGUAGUCCACGCCCUAAACGAUGUCAACUGGUUGUUGGACGGCUUGCUGUUCAGUAACGAAGCUAACGCGUGAAGUUGACCGCCUGGGGAGUACGGCCGCAAGGUUGAAACUCAAAUGAAUUGAC
rnacentral:rRNA from 1 species